AACCGAGAGCUCCUACGGGAGGCAGCAGUGGGGAAUAUUGCACAAUGGAGGGAACUCUGAUGCAGCGACGCCGCGUGAACGAUGAAGGCUUUCGAGUCGUAAAGUUCUUUUAUAUGGGAAGAUAAUGACGGUACCAUAAGAAAAAGCCCCGGCUAACUACGUGCCAGCAGCCGCGGUAAUACGUAGGGGGCUAGCGUUGUCCGGAAUCACUGGGCGUAAAGGGUUCGCAGGCGGAAAUGCAAGUCAGAUGUAAAAGGCAGUAGCUUAACUACUGUAAGCAUUUGAAACUGCAUAUCUUGAGAAGAGUAGAGGUAAGUGGAAUUUUUAGUGUAGCGGUGAAAUGCGUAGAUAUUAAAAAGAAUACCGGUGGCGAAGGCGACUUACUGGGCUCAUUCUGACGCUGAGGAACGAAAGCGUGGGUAGCAAACAGGAUUAGAAACCCUUGUAGUCCGACUGAGA
rnacentral:rRNA from 1 species